AACGAACGCUGGCGGCAGGCUUAACACAUGCAAGUCGAACGCCCCGCAAGGGGAGUGGCAGACGGGUGAGUAACGCGUGGGAACAUACCCUUUCCUGCGGAAUAGCUCUGGGAAACUGGAAUUAAUACCGCAUACGCCCUACGGGGGAAAGAUUUAUCGGGGAAGGAUUGGCCCGCGUUGGAUUAGCUAGUUGGUGGGGUAAAGGACUACCAAGGCGACGAUCCAUAGCUGGUCUGAGAGGAUGAUCAGCCACAUUGGGACUGAGACACGGCCCAAACUCCUACGGGAGGAAGCAGUGGGGAAUAUUGGACAAUGGGCGCAAGCCUGAUCCAGCCAUGCCGCGUGAGUGAUGAAGGCCUUAGGGUUGUAAAGCUCUUUCACCGAUGAAGAUAAUGACGGUAGUCGGAGAAGAAGCCCCGGCUAACUUCGUGCCAGCAGCCGCAGUAAAAC
rnacentral:rRNA from 1 species